AGGACGAACGCUGGCGGCGUGCCUAAUACAUGCAAGUAGGACGCACAGUUUAUACCGUAGCUUGCUACACCAUAGACUGUGAGUUGCGAACGGGUGAGUAACGCGUAGGUAACCUGCCUAUUAGAGGGGGAUAACUAUUGGAAACGAUAGCUAAUACCGCAUAACAGUAUGUAACACAUGUUAGAUGCUUGAAAGAUGCAAUUGCAUCGCUAGUAGAUGGACCUGCGUUGUAUUAGCUAGUAGGUAGGGUAAUGGCCUACCUAGGCGACGAUACAUAGCCGACCUGAGAGGGUGAUCGGCCACACUGGGACUGAGACACGGCCCAGACUCCUACGGGAGGCAGCAGUAGGGAAUCUUCGGCAAUGGGGGGAACCCUGACCGAGCAACGCCGCGUGAGUGAAGAAGGUUUUCGGAUCGUAAAGCUCUGUUGUUAAGGAAGAACGAGUGUGAGAAUGGAAAGUUCAUACUGUGACGGUACUUAACCAGAAAGGGACGGCUAACUACGUGCCAGCAGCCGCGGUAAUACGUAGGUCCCGAGCGUUGUCCGGAUUUAUUGGGCGUAAAGCGAGCGCAGGCGGUUAGAAAAGUCUGAAGUGAAAGGCAGUGGCUCAACCAUUGUAGGCUUUGGAAACUGUUUAACUUGAGUGCAGAAGGGGAGAGUGGAAUUCCAUGUGUAGCGGUGAAAUGCGUAGAUAUAUGGAGGAACACCGGUGGCGAAAGCGGCUCUCUGGUCUGUAACUGACGCUGAGGCUCGAAAGCGUGGGGAGCGAACAGGAUUAGAUACCCUGGUAGUCCACGCCGUAAACGAUGAGUGCUAGGUGUUAGGUCCUUUCCGGGACUUAGUGCCGCAGCUAACGCAUUAAGCACUCCGCCUGGGGAGUACGACCGCAAGGUUGAAACUCAAAGGAAUUGACGGGGGCCCGCACAAGCGGUGGAGCAUGUGGUUUAAUUCGAAGCAACGCGAAGAACCUUACCAGGUCUUGACAUCCCGAU
rnacentral:rRNA from 1 species